GACUCGUCACACUAUCAUUAACUGAAUCCAUAGGUUAAUGAGGCGAACCGGGGGAACUGAAACAUCUAAGUACCCCGAGGAAAAGAAAUCAACCGAGAUUCCCCCAGUAGCGGCGAGCGAACGGGGAGGAGCCCAGAGCCUGAAUCAGCAUGUGUGUUAGUGGAAGCGUCUGGAAAGGCGCGCGAUACAGGGUGACAGCCCCGUACACAAAAGCGCAUGUGCUGUGAGCUCGAUGAGUAGGGCGGGACACGUGGUAUCCUGUCUGAAUAUGGGGGGACCAUCCUCCAAGGCUAAAUACUCCUGACUGACCGAUAGUGAACCAGUACCGUGAGGGAAAGGCGAAAAGAACCCCGGCGAGGGGAGUGAAAAAGAACCUGAAACCGUGUACGUACAAGCAGUGGGAGCACAGGUUUACCUGUGUGACUGCGUACCUUUUGUAUAAUGGGUCAGCGACUUAUAUUCUGUAGCAAGGUUAACCGAAUAGGGGAGCCGGAGGGAAACCGAGUCUUAAUUGGGCGUUAAGUUGCAGGGUAUAGACCCGAAACCCGGUGAUCUAGCCAUGGGCAGGUUGAAGGUUGGGUAACACUAACUGGAGGACCGAACCGACUAAUGUUGAAAAAUUAGCGGAUGACCUGUGGCUGGGGGUGAAAGGCCAAUCAAACCGGGAGAUAGCUGGUUCUCCCCGAAAGCUAUUUAGGUAGCGCCUCGUGAAUUCAUCUCCGGGGGUAGAGCACUGUUUCGGCUAGGGGGCCAUCCCGGCUUACCAACCCGAUGCAAACUGCGAAUACCGGAGAAUGUUAUCACGGGAGACACACGGCGGGUGCUAACGUCCGUCGUGAAGAGGGAAACAACCCAGACCGCCAGCUAAGGUCCCAAAGUCAUGGUUAAGUGGGAAACGAUGUGGGAAGGCCCAGACAGCCAGGAUGUUGGCUUAGAAGCAGCCAUCAUUUAAAGAAAGCGUAAUAGCUCACUGGUCGAGUCGGCCUGCGCGGAAGAUGUAACGGGGCUAAACCAUGCACCGAAGCUGCGGCAGCGACGCUGAUGCGUUGUUGGGUAGGGGAGCGUUCUGUAAGCCUGUGAAGGUGGCCUGUGAGGGUUGCUGGAGGUAUCAGAAGUGCGAAUGCUGACAUAAGUAACGAUAAAGCGGGUGAAAAGCCCGCUCGCCGGAAGACCAAGGGUUCCUGUCCAACGUUAAUCGGGGCAGGGUGAGUCGACCCCUAAGGCGAGGCCGAAAGGCGUAGUCGAUGGGAAACGGGUUAAUAUUCCCGUACUUGGUGUUACUGCGAAGGGGGGACGGAGAAGGCUAUGUUGGCCGGGCGACGGUUGUCCCGGUUUAAGCGUGUAGGUGUGUGUUCCAGGUAAAUCCGGUUC
rnacentral:rRNA from 1 species